GUACAUUAGGACGAAGUUUCUUUCUUUGUAAAAGAAACAAUGGCUGGCGGAGAGUCGGAAGAAAAGUUCACUGGCUUGUCGAAAUACUACAACAGUGUCACCGAUCGUGGUCGUGCAGGUGCAGCCAAAAUAACGUUAGGUGGUCUAGCUCUCAUAGGUCUGUACGUCUAUUUAAAACCGAAGAAAAAGGCCGCAAACUGAGUCGCCGAUGAAAGCUGAUAGAUGUAUUAUGUAAUAAUAAUCUCUGUACAAUAGCCCUGUUGUAAAAUAAAGAA